rnacentral:rRNA from 1 species
GACGAACGCUGGCGGCGUGCCUAAUACAUGCAAGUCGAACGCUGAAGGAGGAGCUUGCUUCUCUGGAUGAGUUGCGAACGGGUGAGUAACGCGUAGGUAACCUGCCUGGUAGCGGGGGAUAACUAUUGGAAACGAUAGCUAAUACCGCAUAAGAGUAGAUGUUGCAUGACAUUUGCUUAAAAGGUGCAAUUGCAUCACUACCAGAUGGACCUGCGUUGUAUUAGCUAGUUGGUGGGGUAACGGCUCACCAAGGCGACGAUACAUAGCCGACCUGAGAGGGGGAUCGGCCACACUGGGACUGAGACACGGCCCAGACUCCUACGGGAGGCAGCAGUAGGGAAUCUUCGGCAAUGGACGGAAGUCUGACCGAGCAACGCCGCGUGAGUGAAGAAGGUUUUCGGAUCGUAAAGCUCUGUUGUAAGAGAAGAACGAGUGUGAGAGUGGAAAGUUCACACUGUGACGGUAUCUUACCAGAAAGAGACGGCUAACUACGUG